rnacentral:rRNA from 1 species
GACAUUUGGUGGAGACUGUUGAAACCACCCGGUCCCAGCAGACCUCGGAAAAUGGCCACAUUCACUGGUGCUUGAACAAGGUCAUUAAGGGUGAAGCCUGGUGCCAGAUGUGU